GACGAACGCUGGCGGCGUGCCUAAUACAUGCAAGUAGAACGCUGAAGAGAGGAGCUUGCUCUUCUUGGAUGAGUUGCGAACGGGUGAGUAACGCGUAGGUAACCUGCCUUGUAGCGGGGGAUAACUAUUGGAAACGAUAGCUAAUACCGCAUAACAAUGGAUGACACAUGUCAUUUAUUUGAAAGGGGCAAUUGCUCCACUACAAGAUGGACCUGCGUUGUAUUAGCUAGUGGGUGAGGUAACGGCUCACCUAGGCGACGAUACAUAGCCGACCUGAGAGGGUGAUCGGCCACACUGGGACUGAGACACGGCCCAGACUCCUACGGGAGGCAGCAGUAGGGAAUCUUCGGCAAUGGGGGCAACCCUGACCGAGCAACGCCGCGUGAGUGAAGAAGGUUUUCGGAUCGUAAAGCUCUGUUGUAAGUCAAGAACGAGUGUGAGAGUGGAAAGUUCACACUGUGACGGUAGCUUACCAGAAAGGGACGGCUAACUACGUGCCAGCAGCCGCGGUAAUACGUAGGUCCCGAGCGUUGUCCGGAUUUAUUGGGCGUAAAGCGAGCGCAGGCGGUUUGAUAAGUCUGAAGUUAAAGGCUGUGGCUCAACCAUAGUUCGCUUUGGAAACUGUCAAACUUGAGUGCAGAAGGGGAGAGUGGAAUUCCAUGUGUAGCGGUGAAAUGCGUAGAUAUAUGGAGGAACACCGGUGGCGAAAGCGGCUCUCUGGUCUGUAACUGACGCUGAGGCUCGAAAGCGUGGGGAGCGAACAGG
rnacentral:rRNA from 1 species